rnacentral:rRNA from 1 species
AUUGAACGCUGGCGGCAGGCUUAACACAUGCAAGUCGAGCGGAGAUGAGGUGCUUGCACCUUAUCUUAGCGGCGGACGGGUGAGUAAUGCUUAGGAAUCUGCCUAUUAGUGGGGGACAACAUUCCGAAAGGAAUGCUAAUACCGCAUACGUCCUACGGGAGAAAGCAGGGGAUCUUCGGACCUUGCGCUAAUAGAUGAGCCUAAGUCGGAUUAGCUAGUUGGUGGGGGAAAGGCCUACCAAGGCGACGAUCUGGAGCGGGUCUGGGAGGAUGAACCGCCAAACUGGGACUGAGACACGGCCCAGACUCCUACGGGAGGCAGCAGUGGGGAAUAUUGGACAAUGGGGGGAACCCUGAUCCAGCCAUGCCGCGUGUGUGAAGAAGGCCUUAUGGUUGUAAAGCACUUUAAGCGAGGAGGAGGCUACUGAGACUAAUACUCUUGGAUAGUGGACGUUACUCGCAGAGUAAGCACCGGCUAACUCUGUGCCAGCCGCCGCGGUAA